rnacentral:rRNA from 1 species
GUCAAGUCAUCAUGGCCCUUAUGUCCAGGGCUACACACGUGCUACAAUGGUUGGAACAAAGUGAUGCGGAACCGCGAGGGAAAAGCGAAACACAAAAACCCAACCGUAGUUCGGAUUGAAGUCUGAAACCCGACUUCAUGAAGUUGGAAUCGCUAGUAAUCGCGCAUCAGCAUGGCGCGGUGAAUACGUUCCCGGGCCUU